rnacentral:SRP_RNA from 1 species
GUUGGGCACAGUGGUAUGUGCCUGUAGUCCCAGUUACCCAGGAGGCUGAGGAAGGAGGAUCGCUUGAGCCCAGGAGUUCUGGCUCGUAAAGCACUGUGCCCAUGGGGUGUCCGCACUAAGUCGGCAUCAGUAUGAUGACCUCCUGGUGGGAGUGGGGGACCAUCAGGUUGCCCCAGGGAGGGUUGAACCAUACCAGGUCAGAAACAGAGCAGGUUAAAAUUCCUGUGCUGAUCAGUAAUGGGAUGGUGCCUGUGAACAGUCACUGCACUCUAUCUAGGGGAAACAUGGCAAGACCCCAUCUCUA